rnacentral:rRNA from 1 species
CGGUCCCUAUCUGCCGUGGGCGCUGGAGAACUGAGGGGGGCUGCUCCUAGUACGAGAGGACCGGAGUGGACGCAUCACUGGUGUUCGGGUUGUCAUGCCAAUGGCACUGCCCGGUAGCUAAAUGCGGAAGAGAUAAGUGCUGAAAGCAUCUAAGCACGAAACUUGCCCCGAGAUGAGUUCUCCCUGACCCUUUAAGGGUCCUGAAGGAACGUUGAAGACGACGACGUUGAUAGGCCGGGUGUGUAAGCGCAGCGAUGCGUUGAGCUAACCGGUACUAAUGAACCGUGAGGCUUAACCUUACAACGCCGAAG